ensembl:snoRNA
AUGCAUCUGUUUGACAGACCUGGAGCAAACACUGUUGCUUCUCAGGUUCUCUUUUGAGAUGCAACAGUAACAGGUUCCUUGCGCUUUCUGCCUGUCUGACCUGGUGGCAGUCUGGAUUGAAUAAAGGAACACAAAU